UACGAAGGGGGCUAGCGUUGCUCGGAAUCACUGGGCGUAAAGCGCAUGUAGGCGGGUUUGUAAGUCGUGUGUGAAAACCCCAGGCUCAACCUGGGACUGGCGCUCGAUACUGCAAAUCUUGAAUGCUCGAGAGGAUGACAGAAUUCCUGGUGUAGAGGUGAAAUUCGUAGAUAUCAGGAGGAAUACCGGAGGCGAAGGCGGUUAUCUGGCGAGACAUUGACGCUGAGGUGCGAAAGUGCGGGGAGCAAACGGG
rnacentral:rRNA from 1 species